rnacentral:tRNA from 1 species
GGCUCGGUGGCUUAGUUGGUAAAGCGCUCGUCUAGCAUACAAGAGUCCUGGGUUCGAAUCCCAGCCAGGCAC